CUCCCCCUCCUUCACUCUUCUGCCUGCUCUGUACAUUUGCAUCUCAAUCCUGCAGCUGAUCAAAGAGGCAAACACGGCGGAGAACAUCCCUGUCAUGUUUUAAGUCCUUGUCUAAGGACAUGAAGAGCAGCCAAAAAACCUGGUGGGUGCUUGGAGAGCCGACAGUGCAGGACACACGAGGCUGUCGCUCCAAUUGCAGAUGAAGUGUUUUGAUGUCUGGAAACCUCAAGGAUGGAGCAAUCCCAAGCUGGAGAGGGUUACACCAAGUUCUUGAAACUUUGAAAUUGAUUUCCCUGGAAAUUUGGAUCCAUCAGCAUUUCCAGUGAAAUUAAAAGUCCACAGGAUUCCGCUAAAAGGGAAGAUUGCGGGCGAAUCCACAAACACUGAGUACUUCCCCCCCCCUAAUUAAUAUAAUUCUUUUCUUCUUCAAAGUGUUAGGCUAUUUCAUGACAAACUCAAACAGGGGACACUUUGAUCUAAAGAAUAAGGUGGUUCAGAUCUCUGCUAAUUAGCAGCUGUCCUUACAGAUUUUGGCAAUGAGUUUGAUGGAAAAUUGUAUUAUUAUCUGUUCUGCCUUACUCUGUGCUUAGGAUGGGAACAGCACAGAGCAUUUAUUUGACAUGAUGGGAUGUAUCAUGUAGACAUCAGUGUUGUACAUUUUGAAAGAAAACAAAAAAAAAUAAAAUUAGAGGUAUGAAAGUGAAAAUGAAAGAAACACAAUUUGUAAUAAUUGAUUGGUCACCUAGAAAGAAGAUCUUUCCGCAACCAAGAAUAACACUUUUAAAACACAACAUUAAAAGGAAUGUUAUAAAUAAUAUUAAUAGGAAAUGCAGCAAACGUUCAUGCAAUUUUGUUAACUUUUUUCUGCUGGCAGCACAACAUUUUUGGGACGUUUUAGUGCAGGGACCCAUGCCUUUGCUGACAUAAGGAAGGGUUUCUGUUUUAUAAAAAGCCCUUUAAGGGCUUCCCUUAAGGGAAGCACCUGCCUUCCAGCCCUGCCCACAGCACUAUUUAAACCAGCCAGGUGGGCCAGGCCAGGGGAUGAAAGUUUCAGGAGCUGCUGCACCACAAGGGUUUCUCAGCUGUGUGGAGGCACCUGGAAAGAAAGAAAGAAAGAAAAAGGCAUGGGCACAACAUUAAUUUGGAAUAUAUUACAUGUGAUGUAUGCUGGCAUUUUGGAACCAUCCUGCAAAUGCUGUGAGGGAUUUAAUCUCCCCUCUGCCAGGUCCUCCUGGCAAGAGUCUUUUGUUGUGCCUGAGCACCUUAAGAUAAUUGAUUUCCCUGUAAACGGGCUGGAGAUGUUUCUCUGAUGGAGAUUGCACUUCUGUUCUGUUCACUUACUGUAAACUGAACAAAAAAAAUGUUUAUGUACAGAAAUGGAGGGAGGGGAGUUUGUGAUUGCUGUCUUUUCUUUUCAUUGCAAGCCUUAAUAUCACUGAAUAGCUGCCUAUCACUCAGCUAUCAAGUUUAAUGAUGAAGAGAGGAAUAGAAAUGUGGUUUUGGCUGGGCUCCUUAUCCAAAUGCUGUGAUCUCUGUCACCAAGAUUGACAAAGCUGCUGGUGCUGGGGUUUAUUUAUGCAGGUUGUUCUGGGGACAGGCUUCUCCUCAUACUGCAUCCCUGGGGACACUUGUCACUGCUGCUCAGGGACAGGGGCUGCUGUGCACUGGGAUGCUCUGACAUGCUGUCCAUCUUGUCAGCUCCAAUAUUGCUCCCCAGUCAGCUCUGGGUGAGGUGUGUGGGAGUUGUGCUGUCCUGUCUGUCCAUGGGAUGUGCUGGGGUCUCUGAGUGGAGAGGUGGCUGCUCCUGAGCAGGAGUUGGUGCUGGAGCCACUGACCUGAUAUUGUUCUGAAGCCUGGUGCCAUUUCCAGAUCAGCAUCUCAGCCCAGGAGCUAACCCAGGAGGGGUUAACACCACCUCGUUCCAGGAUCACUGGGUUUAAAAAGCAGCAGAGAUCCAGGAAAUUUGAGGGUGCAUAAAUAAUCAAACAAGGGCAGGUCAGUCACCCUGGAAGAGACUCCACCGAGCAAAGGAAUUGGUUUGAAAGGUUGGACUUCAAAAUACCUCUGGAAAAUGAUUUCCCAUUUUAGAGGGGCAGCAUUUAAUGGCAGCAGAGCCUGCUCCUAAAAACCAGGCACAGGCAGCUGCCCCAGCCCCUGCCAGAGCUGCUCAGCCCCAUCCAGGAGGUGCAGGGCUGUCCACAGCUGGGGUCUCUGCUGAGCAGAUGGGCAAUGUCCAGCCCAUGGGACAUAAACACUGGCUA